AACGAACGCUGGCGGCGUGUUUAAGACAUGCAAGUCGCACGGUGUCAUUUUGGUAGCAAUACUUGGAUGGCACAGUGGCGCACGGGUGAGUAACACGUGAAUGACAUGCCCUUCAGAGGGGGAUAGCCCAGGGAAACUUGGAUUAAUACCCCAUGGUCUCGCAAGAGUAAAGGGGGCCGCAAGGCUGUCCCUGGAGGAUUGGUUCGCGUUCUAUCAGCUUGUUGGCGGGGUAACGGCCCACCAAGCCUACGACGGAUACCUGGUCUGCGAGGAAGAUCAGGCAAAAUGGGACGGGGACACGGUCAAGACACAUACGGGUGGCAGCAGUCGAGAAUAAUUCACAAUGGGGGCAACCCUGAUGGUGCAACGCCGCGUGGAGGAUGAAGGUCUUCGAAUUGUAAACUCCUGUCAUCCGGGAGCAAGACCUGACGGUGAAUAGCCGGCAGGGUUGAUAGUACCGGAAGAGGAAGGGACGGCUAACUUCGUGCCAGCCGCCGCCGUAAAAC
rnacentral:rRNA from 1 species